rnacentral:rRNA from 1 species
GCAUCGAUGAGAACGCAGCGAAAUGCGAUACGUAAUAUGAAUUGCAGAUAUUCGUGAUCAUCGAAUCUUUGAACGCACAUUGCGCCCUCUGGUAUUCCGGAGGGCAUGCCUGUUUGAGCGUCGUUUCUCCCUCAAACCGCUGGGUUUGGUGUUGAGCAAUACGACUUGGGUUUGCUUGAAAGACGGUAGUGGUAAGGCGGGAUCGCUUUGACAAUGGCUUAGGUCUAACCAAAAACAUUGCUUGCGGCGGUAACGUCCACCACGUAUAUCUUCAAACUUUGACCUCAAAUCAAGUAGGACUACCCGCUGAACUUAAGCAUAUCAAUAAGCGGAGGAA